UAAGGUCGUAGGAGGUUAUACAGGCAAAUCCGUAUAACAAUACUCCGAGAACUGAAAGGCUUUUUGAAGUCUUCGGAUGGAUAGAAGAACCCCUGAUGCCGUCGAGCCAAGAAAAGUUUCUAAGUUUAGCUAAUGUUGCCCGUACCGUAAACCGACACAGGUGGGUGGGAUGAGUAUUCUAAGGCGCGUGGAAGAACUCUCUUUAAGGAACUCUGCAAAAUAGCACCGUAUCUUCGGUAUAAGGUGUGGUUAGCUUUGUAUUAGGAUUUACUCCGAAAGCAAGGAAACUUACAACAAAGAGUCCCUCCCGACUGUUUACCAAAAACACAGCACUCUGCUAACUCGUAAGAGGAUGUAUAGGGUGUGACGCCUGCCCGGUGCUCGAAGGUUAAUUGAUGGGGUUAGCAUUAGCGAAGCUCUUGAUCGAAGCCCGAGUAAACGGCGGCCGUAACUAUAACGGUCCUAAGGUAGCGAAAUUCCUUGUCGGUUAAAUACCGACCUGCAUGAAUGGCGUAACGAGAUGGGAGCUGUCUCAAAGAGGGAUCCAGUGAAAUUGUAGUGGAGGUGAAAAUUCCUCCUACCCGCGGCAAGACGGAAAGACCCCGUGGACCUUUACUACAGCUUGACACUGCUACUUGGAUAAGAAUGUGCAGGAUAGGUGGGAGGCUUUGAGUAUAUGACGCCAGUUGUAUAUGAGCCAUUGUUGAGAUACCACUCUUUCUUAUUUGGGUAGCUAACCAGCUUGAGUUAUCCUCAAGUGGGACAAUGUCUGGUGGGUAGUUUGACUGGGGCGGUCGCCUCCCAAAUAAUAACGGAGGCUUACAAAGGUUGGCUCAGAACGGUUGGAAAUCGUUCGUAGAGUAUAAAGGUAUAAGCCAGCUUAACUGCAAGACAUACAAGUCAAGCAGAGACGAAAGUCGGUCUUAGUGAUCCGGUGGUUCUGUGUGGAAGGGCCAUCGCUCAAAGGAUAAAAGGUACCCCGGGGAUAACAGGCUGAUCUCCCCCAAGAGCUCACAUCGACGGGGAGGUUUGGCACCUCGAUGUCGGCUCAUCGCAUCCUGGGGCUGGAGCAGGUCCCAAGGGUAUGGCUGUUCGCCAUUUAAAGCGGUACGCGAGCUGGGUUCAGAACGUCGUGAGACAGUUCGGUCCCUAUCUGCCGUGGGCGUAAGAAGAUUGAAGAGAUUUGACCCUAGUACGAGAGGACCGGGUUGAACAAACCACUGGUGUAGCUGUUGUUCUGCCAAGAGCAUCGCAGCGUAGCUAAGUUUGGAAAGGAUAAACGCUGAAAGCAUCUAAGCGUGAAGCCAACUCUAAGAUGAAUCUUCUCUAAGCUCUCUAGAAGACUACUAGUUUGAUAGGCUGGGUGUGUAAUGGAUGAAAGUCCUUUAGCUGACCAGUACUAAUAGAGCGUUUGGCUUAUCUUUAAUAAAGCAU
rnacentral:rRNA from 1 species